rnacentral:rRNA from 1 species
AGAGUUUGAUCCUGGCUCAGGAUGAACGCUAGCUACAGGCUUAACACAUGCAAGUCGAGGGGAAACGACAUCGAAAGCUUGCUUUUGAUGGGCGUCGACCGGCGCACGGGUGAGUAACGCGUAUCCAACCUGCCCACCACUUGGGGAUAACCUUGCGAAAGUAAGACUAAUACCCAAUGACGUCUCUAGAAGACAUCUGAAAGGGAUUAAAAGAUUUAUCGGUGAUGGAUGGGGAUGCGUCUGAUUAGCUUGUUGGCGGGGUAACGCCGACAAGGCUACGAUCAGUAGGGGUUCUGAGAGGAAGGUCCCCCACAUUGGAACUGAGACGCGGUCCAAACUCCUACGGGAGCA